rnacentral:ribozyme from 1 species
CGCACAGCAACUCCUAUCCCUACCUCCUCGCGGUACUGGCCGGGGUACGAGUAACCUUAGGGAAGAUCGGGUAGCCGGCCCCGGUGGGAACUCUGGUCGUAUGCUAACAGGGAAGA